GUGCCAGCAGCCGCGGUAAUACGGAGGGUGCAAGCGUUGUCCGGAAUCACUGGGCGUAAAGGGCGCGUAGGCGGCUCGGUAAGUAGGGGGUGAAAUCCUGCGGCUUAACCGCAGGGCUGCCUUCUAAACUGUCGAGCUCGAGCACGGUAGAGGCAGAUGGAAUUCCCGGUGUAGCGGUGGAAUGCGUAGAGAUCGGGAAGAACAUCAGUGGCGAAGGCGGUCUGCUGGGCCGUUGCUGACGCUGAGGCGCGACAGCGUGGGGAGCAAACAGGAUUAGAUACCCUCGUAGUCC
rnacentral:rRNA from 1 species